GAUUCUAAGAACUGUUCGGCUGAGUGACCAUGGUGACAGUGGUGUCAGCCUGCACACUUUUUCCAGCAGAGUAAAAGGACUAUGCAUCUAACAGAUGCAUUUGGAAACAAAGACCUAAGACCACAAAAUCAUCUACAUAUUCGGGUAUUUCAUUUGUGAAGGGUGUUUCAUCGUUCACUGUUUACUGUUUCGGCAGGUCCUACUCGUAGAGACAGGUACUGGGGAGGAUUCUGUUGCCACUCCAUAGGUAUUUCCGUCCAAGUCAAAAGGAAUUUCUAAAGCUUUUGUGGUGUUUGGCAAAGGUGAUGAACAUUCUUCUUUUCCUUUUCAUGGUGGCUUUAUCAGAAAGUGCCUCCUAGGACAUAGAAGGUAUGGAAAGUAACAAGUGAAAUAUCUGGGGAUUCAUGCAAAAUCACCAUUAUAAACAAGAGUGUUGCCCUGUGGGGGAAAAAAAAUCAACCUGAAGGAGGUCCACUGCCCGGGAAGAAUAUAGAAAGAGACUGAGAGGCAAGUGUGGUAAGGCCCACCAAGUGUUCUAGGGAUGAUAUUGUCCACUAAAGACUUCAACAUUUCCACUUCCAGUCCUAUUGGAAAUCCCACUUAGGAUCGAGAUGGCCGCAGAAGGCAAGAGCUUAGCCGUUACUACUGAUGCUACUGUCAAGCCCGUUCCUAGGAGUUUGGACAUUUUAAGACACUGUAACCUGAGGCUGAGACAUAACUAAUUUAUCUGAAUCCUGCUGUUCAGAUCCUACCUUGCAAGAUAAACUAUGAUUUCCCUCUCUUUAAAGCCCUUUUGCAGUAAGAAAGAAUUGGGUAUAAGGGCUCCCCUUUCUGAUUUUCAGUGCCGUAACUUCUCAGUCAGUGAGUUCGCUUUCUUAACUUGUACAUCAAUCUUAAAAACUAGGCUCAUGUGAGUGUCCCCCGAGAAAGGGACACUUCCUCAAGAAGCUGAAAAAUCAGCUUCCUAGAGGCUAGUGGACAGGGAGAAACAGUGAUAAAUUAAUCGAGGUCCAAAUGACUACUGCAUGAAGCUUACAGUAACCGCAUUAUUAUUAAAACGGGAUUACAAUUAAUCCCCAAAGCCAGCAGUUCAUGGAACUUUUCGGACUCUUUAGAAACACUACCUCAUAAUGUGCUGGGUAUAUCAAAGGAGGAGAACAGCAAAAAUCAUUAAUGGGAAACUUUCAGAAAGCAUUCCUGUCUUUCUCCCCUGUGCAUAGCACUGUGGAAAAUUCUGGGAAAUACUUUGAGAAAAUAAUCAGGAACCUAAAAUGCAAUGAGUUAGCUCUGAGGGCGAUGGAGCAUGCAUAUGGCCAAGUCUUCCUGGGGGUUCAUUAAAGUUUUGUUUGUUUGUUUGGUUGGUUGGUUGGUUUUGUUUUCCCAAACAGAGUUUGUCUGUGUAGAUCUGGUUUUACUGGAACUCACUCUGUAGACCAGGAAGGCCUUGAACUCAGGAUCUGCCUUCAUCUGCCCCCUGAGUGCUUAGGAUUAAAGGCACCACUACUGGGCUCAUGAAAGUUUUUCAAGCACGUUUUUUAAAACAAUUUUCUUUUCUUUUUUUUUUUUUUUUUUUUUUUUUUUUUGGUGUGUGUUUAAAUUGAAAGUUGAAGGGAAAGAAGAAUUUUGAUUAGCAAGACAAAAUGGCCGAAUCCGUAGAUCGAUUAAAAUGAUCAAUGGUAGUAAAAGAGAAACCUGUGCCCAUUAAAAGAUGGGGUGAGAAGUACGCCUGUGGCCUUUCCUGCUAAAUGGUGACCAGCAUUGUGAGUGAGCAUCUCAUCAGAAGUUCUCGAGUGCUAUCUGACUCCAAUUCCUAUUUCCAUAUGGCUGGGUCACAAAUCAUUAAAGAACAGGGGGUGAGCGUGAGGGAUCUUAAGAACUCGAUUAUAAGCUUUGUCAUGGGCAAGCACAGGUCCAAGAACUUGAGGAUGGAGAAAUGUUUCCUGUUCAGUUCAUCUCGACGGGCAGAGUAGGACAUGGAUGUAUCUAGUGAGUUCACCACUACUGCCAAAAACUGAGCUAAACUAAGGCAAGAGCUGUACCAGUCAGAGGGACCAGCUGAGGGACAUUUUUCUGGACGCAGACAGGAUGAGGACUGACAACCAGUUGAGCGGAAGAGGAGAAAGCUUUGACUUCCACUUGAAAAUGUAGCUGGAAGGCCCUGCCGUACGCAUGUCUCUUAGAGACAUUAGACUGAAGGGCUUUGUGUCCCAGUCUAGAGUAGUAUCUAACAGAAGAGGUGCAUUUGAACCUGAGCUGAAGGGAGAUUUAUAAUAACAUCAGAUCUGGCCGCUACCAAGAUGGAGACUAACUGAUGCGGUCUACAAAGGAGGCUGAGAGAAGUGAAAACAGAGUUAUGGUUGCUGUUUUUUCCUCUGUCCUCCUCUCCUCCCUGAUCCCCCAUAAGGGUUUCAGAGCUGUGCUAUUACCGGUAUUAGUAAAGUGCAUGUUCCGGGCUUCAGAAUUUAUUUUUCAACACGCCCAAUUGUCUUGAGAAUCCAUCUGCCUAGACCCCAUUCUGGUCCUUCCUUGGGCUCGAUGAUUGCCUAUGGAUUUGACUAUAAAUUGCAUACUAAUGACUUCUGAUGGUUGCUGUUACCCAAGCUAAGAAUUACGUCCAUUCUACAAAAUCACUAUGCAGGGCCUAUGUUUAAUGAAAGGAACCAAAGGAUAUGUAAUCCCUUGAUAAUUUAUUUCUGUGGUACUGAACAUUGAACCUAAGACAUCGUGUAUGUAAGUACGUGUUCUACCACUGAGCUAAAUCUCCAGCCCUGUCCUGGUAAUGCCCAUCACUACAGCCCAACAGUGGCAGGCAUUCUUGGGGAAGAAGAAAAAGAAACUCUGUCCCGAUCUUCCCUCGGCGUUACCAAAUGGAAAGGUACUCCUCCUACGUACCUGCCCCAACAAAAGGCCGGUUAAAACCAGCACCUAGUAUUAGGUCGUCUGUUGUUGACUUUAAAGUAAUGUAACAGAGCUCAGGAAGAGAGGAGAAGGAAGUGGAGAGGAUUGUUAUAUAUAAACAAACUAGGCAUGAAUUGAUCAUUGUUCACAGCUCUCGGAGUUACCUGUGUAUACACUUUAGAUUUCUGUAAUAAAAAGUUUACUCUUUUAAAAUACCAGAAAUUAUGAUCAAGGAUCAUACCUACAUUCCUGUUCUGCAUAAAUUCCAUUUCUAAGGACAGGACAUGACACAGAGUAAAUAACAAUUUUUACCUUUGGAUUUGCCAAUAGUCUCAAGUUAUCGCUCUUCGCUUAAGGCAUUUUUAUCAUUCCAAUUAAUCCGACAUCAUUCAACACAUUCAUUAACAUUAUACUUACUACAUCUUCCAAAUCAUAAUUAAUAGAAACAAGACCGAGUAUUUUACGGUAGUAUAAAUCACUGGGAAAGCCUUCUCAAUUAUAUAGUUGAUGAAAAGCAAUAAAUGAUAAUAAUCCUGCAAAUUCAUCUCACGAUACUCGUCUACAGACCUCUUAAAGUUCAUUUGUCUCCCGCAAAUCCCUGCAUAGCACACGGAAAAUGCCUCUAGUAUUUCAGAAGCCAAUACUGAAAAGAGAAAGCCAAGUGACAUUUAUGCCUAAUUUGGCAUCUAAUUUAUUGAGAGGGAGACAUUUUUCACAAGAUAUUUUACAAAUACUACAGCCUGAAGUCAUCAACUCAUUUCACCAUUUAAAAACAAAUCAGAAAAAAGAUAUUUUUCAAGGACGUUAUUUUUCUUUUUGUACAAAUAAAAAAAGUUCCUAAACCUCA